AAGUUCCUGCGUUUUCUGUCUCUAUCCCGCGAUAUUUAAACAGCUUUUGUGUCGUUUCGAUCACCUGAGAUUGUUCUGUUGGAUGGAUGGUGAUUGUCUGCUCCUGAUGUGAAGUCUGCUUAUCUGAUUUCUUCGCCAGCUUGUGUAUUUUUUUUUUAACUUUUUGAUGAAAAACCGACGGAUAAUUUAUGCCCGUGGGUGAGGGCUGAUAAGUGAUUUCGUGACGACUUAAUGAAAACGGAAGUGCAUAGGCCAAAGAAAACUUCGUAAAUAUAAUGCUUCGUGAUGCUGUACGCAAUUGUGGUCACUCAUGAUGAAACGUCCUGUUGUCAAUCCGAAGAGGAUAUCCUGAUAAUGCUUCGUGAUGCUGUACGCAAUUGUGGUCACUCAUGAUGAAACGUCCUGUUGUCAA